GAUGAAGAACGUAGCGAAAUGCGAUACGUAAUGUGAAUUGCAGAAUUCAGUGAAUCAUCGAGUCUUUGAACGCACAUUGCGCCCCCUGGUAUUCCGGGGGGCAUGUCUGUCCGAGCGUCAUUGCUGCCCUCAAGCCCGGCUUGUGUGUUGGGUCUCGUCCCCCUUCCCGGGGGGACGGGCCCGAAAGGCAGCGGCGGCACCGCGUCCGGUCCUCGAGCGUAUGGGGCUUUGUCACCCGCUCUGUAGGCCCGGCCGGCGCUUGCCGAUCAACCAAAACUUUUUUCCAGGUUGACCUCGGAUCAGGUAGGGAUACCCGCUGAACUUAAGCAUAUCAAUAAGCGGAGGA
rnacentral:misc_RNA from 1 species